ensembl:lncRNA
CCAACAGCGUACAGUACAGUUUACAGUAGAAUAGGCCAGACUUGUGACCAGUUGGAUGUUAUUACUGUUACAGCUGCAGCUCCCCUCCUCCGCUACAGUGGAGGGAAAUGUAUGUUGGAACCCCAAAAACAACACUGACUUUGAUUAUCAGGCCAGAGGGAAACUGAGAAUAGAACGACAGGAGUGCCAAGUGAGUAAAAACCAACUCAGCGUUUUAAUUGCUUAAUCUGCAGCAGUUCUGAUCAUUUUCUUUUCUUUUUAGCUUUCUGUGCAGCUCAAUGGAACGUCGGGACGAGUCGGUCUUUAUUCUUCUCUCAGACAUCCCUUCAAAUCAAAGAUUCCACAAACAUUAGAGGUGAGUCUCUUCUGUGUUUCGUCAAAUGAUUCAGUGGUCCAAAAAUGGUCAAAUGAAAAAGAAGUCUUACAACAUAUUCAGUUUGGGAAAAAAAUAAAUAACAGUCUCUGUCAGGGUCUUUUAGCAUGUGAGCUUUCUUAGCUAUCUUCUCAUUUUACUGAUUUUACGUUAAGGUAAAGGCCACUGCAGACGUUUUUGCAGUGGCUGGCACAGGAAGUAGCUCAGUACAUGUGAGGGCUGAUGGGAAGGACAGGGUGAAACUGGACACCCAGAUGUCCCACUCCUUCCAGAGGGGAGCCAGAGCCGUGGGACUGAGGGUGAACGUAUCCCAGAGCCUGCUGCCUUCGGCCACUGACCUGCAUAUCAACAUGGCUGCCAACAUUACCUCGGACAGGUAUCAUUUUUUGUCAGAUAUCACAGAUCUACAGUGACGAUAAUAUAUGUAAUAAACAAUGUUGAAUGUCUCUUUAUGGACUUUUGAACUCAUUGCAUUACUGUGCUCUGUCUCCUCCAGCGUGUCUCUACAUGGCUCCUAUACACAGGGGCACGAGGCUCUACUGGCUCAGGUCAAAGGGUCUCUUAAAGACACCCGGGGCCUCCAGCUGGCUGUGUCCGGGGACCUGAGGCACUCUAUGGCCAACCUUGCUAUUUUGCCUCCAGUCCUGGGCUUAGACGGGCUGCUGGGACACUCUGACACCCUCAUUGAAGGACAGCUGAGAGUUAGAGUGAUGGAGACCUUGUACAGUGUGGAGCUGAGACAUCAGGAGGAACCCGGAGAGUCUUCAGACAGAGAAGAUGAAGAGGGCAUGAUGGGAAAGAAAUUUCAUGUGGCCCGUGAUUGGCUGUGUGUUUGGUCAGGGGCGGAGCAUUUGUGCGUGAAUGCAAGCCGCCGACUUGGGAAUGGAGGGACGGGUGAGGUCUACACCAGACUAUCUCACUCCUUCCACCUGCUCAAUGCCACAGGUAAAUCAUUACUUUAUACAUAUACACAGAAUAAUGUGUCCUGGAGUCUCAGUGUCUGUGUCUUCUGGAUACAGGUGUACCUGCCAGCAGUGAUGCCCAGGCGAGGUGGGCCCAGGAUGGCGGUCGACUGUCAGUCCUUGCAGAGCUGCACGCUGGACCAGAACAUCUAAAAGCUGAGUUUAAUGGAGGCAAGACAGACCAGGUAACACCACGAUGGGAGUACUUCUCCAGGCUGCAGCAUCAAGUCAAAGCCCUGCUGAAAAGAGGUGUAUCAAGCUCCAUACAAGCCGAAGCACAUUAUCAGGUGCAGGACUAUCUUCUAUUUUCCUAUCCCUAGCAAGUUCAUAUUUCAUUUACAAGCGUAGAUGCAUCAAUCUGUUGUCUUUCCUCUAUCGUUAUUUGUUACGUUUUUCUUCCCACUGUUAGUUAGAAGCAGGAGGCCUGGACACAGGCUUGGUCCUUCACAUGGGAGACGAGAGAAUGGUUGACAUCGUCUUUAAUGUCGGAUUGAAAAACAGCACAGCUAUAUUGGUAGUGUCUCUAUGGCAACAGAUGAAGCUGCUCCAGGAAGUCAUACCCACCUCUUUACAGGUGAACUUAACAUCACUUACACAAACAUUAGAACUCUGGCUGUGUCUUUAUUCAUCUUAACCCAUGAUCUUUAGUUGUAGAGCAUUGUGUUUAAGUCUUA